rnacentral:rRNA from 1 species
AAAAGUAUUAAAAAUUAGGUAAUAAAGGGAUCUCCGAAACCUAAAGGACUUGGCGGUAUUUUAAAUAAUUGGAGGAACUUGUUAUUUAAUUGAAAUUACACAACAAAUCUUUCCCUAUUUUUGCUUGUAUAUCAUUGUUUUAAGACAACAUUUUUUAAUAUAGUCCAAAUUAAGUUUGUUCAAAAAAUCAAAUCAAGGCGCAGCAUAACAGGGUUAUAAUGAGUUACAAUGAAAAUUAUUCAAGACGGAGAUGAUAAGUAAGAUAAUAUUGAAGGUGGAUUCAAAAAUAAUAGGAAAUCAAUAAGUUCUUAUGAAUAAUAAUUUAAAAUAUGC